UACGUAGGGUGCGAGCGUUGUCCGGAAUUAUUGGGCGUAAAGAGCUCGUAGGCGGUGUGUCACGUCGGCCGUGAAAACCUGCAGCUUAACUGUGGGCGUGCGGUCGAUACGGGCAUCACUGGAGUUCGGCAGGGGAGACUGGAAUUCCUGGUGUAGCGGUGAAAUGCGUAGAUAUCUGGAGGAAUACCGGUGGCGAAGGCGGCAUCCUGGACCAUUACUGACGCUGAGGCGCGAAAGCUAGGGGAGCAAACGGG
rnacentral:rRNA from 1 species